UACGUAGGGUGCGAGCGUUAAUCAGAAUUACUGGGCGUAAAGGGUGCGUAGGCGGUUGUUUAAGUCUGUCGUGAAAUCCCCGGGCUCAACCUGGGAAUGGCGAUGGAUACUGGGCAGCUAGAGUGUGUCAGAGGAUGGUGGAAUUCCCGGUGUAGCGGUGAAAUGCGUAGAGAUCGGGAGGAACAUCAGUGGCGAAGGCGGCCAUCUGGGACAACACUGACGCUGAAGCACGAAAGCGUGGGGAGCAAACAGG
rnacentral:rRNA from 1 species